rnacentral:rRNA from 1 species
GAUGAACGCUGGCGGCGUGCCUAAUACAUGCAAGUCGAACGGGGAGUAGCAAUACUCUUAGUGGCGAACGGGUGAGUAACGCGUUGGUACCUGCCCCGAAGCGGGGGAUAACGGACCGAAAGGUCCGCUAAUACCCCAUGUGCUCGGUAACGAGUAAAGGUGAAAACCACUUUGGGAGGGGCCUGCGUCCCAUCAGCUAGUUGGUAAGGUAACGGCUUACCAAGGCGAUGACGGGUAGGGGACCUGAGAGGGUGGCCCCCCACAAUGGAACUGAAACACGGUCCAUACACCUACGGGUGGCAGCAGUAGGGAAUAUUGGUAAUGGGCGCAAGCCUGAACCAGCAACGCCGCGUGUGCGAUGACGGCCUUCGGGUUGUAAAGCACUUUUGACUGGGACGAGGAAGGACGGUACCAGUCGAAUCAGCCUCGGCUAACUACGUG